AAUAUUGCACAAUGGGCGCAAGCCUGAUGCAGCAACGCCGCGUGAGCGAUGAAGGCCUUCGGGUCGUAAAGCUCUGUCCUCAAGGAAGAAUAAAUGACGGUACUUGAGGAGGAACGCCCCCGGCUAACUACGUGCCAGCAGCCGCGGUAAUACGGUAGGGGCAAGCGUUAUCCGGAAUCACUGGGCGGUAAAGGGUGCGUAGGCGGUUUUCAAGUCAGAAGUGAAAGGCUAUGGCUCAACCAUAGUAAGCUUUUGAAACUGUUAAACUUGAGUGCAGGAGAGGAAAGUGGAAUUCCUAGUGUAGAGGUGAAAUUCGUAGAUAUUAGGAGGAACACCAGUGGCGAAGGCGACUUUCUGGACUGUAACUGACGCUGAGGCACGAAAGCGUGGGGAGCGAACAGGAUUAGAUACCCUGGUAG
rnacentral:rRNA from 1 species